GCAGAAGACACUCUUUCUGACCUUUCUAGGGAAACCAUACGGAACAAAGGGAGCCAUGCGAUCGCCUACUUCAGAGGUUUCUUUACCCAUCCAGAUCACGGCAAGGUUCUGGCAAUAACUUCACAAAAGCAAGUUGGAGUCAGCAGUUCCUGUCAUGGCAGAGCUUUCGUCUACACACGUGCAUUCUUCUCAGUCCUGGGGUAGAUAUCAAAGCUCCAGCUGCAGUGUUCACAAAGAGAGAGUUCGAGGUCAGCCUGGGACUCAUACAUUUCCAUCUCAACACCACCCCACAAACAUGUUUACCGAAGGUUAAAGAGGUAAAGGAAACAG
rnacentral:lncRNA from 1 species